UACGGAGGAUCCAAGCGUUAUCCGGAUUUAUUGGGUUUAAAGGGUGCGUAGGCGGCCUGUUAAGUCAGGGGUGAAAGACGGUAGCUCAACUAUCGCAGUGCCCUUGAUACUGAUGGGCUUGAAUUGACUAGAGGUAGGCGGAAUGUGACAAGUAGCGGUGAAAUGCAUAGAUAUGUCACAGAACACCGAUUGCGAAGGCAGCUUACUAUGGUCUUAUUGACGCUGAGGCACGAAAGCGUGGGGAGCGAACAGG
rnacentral:rRNA from 1 species